GGCCUGUGAUGUAUGAUAUUGUCCGUACCAUCUGAAUGCCUAUGGCUUCUUUUGACGAUAACCAUGUAUCCUUAAUCUACUGAGGCCU